rnacentral:rRNA from 1 species
UACGUAGGGGGCAAGCGUUGUCCGGAUUUAUUGGGCGUAAAGAGCGUGUAGGCGGUUUGGUAGGUCCGCUGUGAAAACUCGAGGCUCAACCUCGAGACGCCGGUGGAAACCAUCAGGCUAGAGUCCGGAAGAGGAGAGUGGAAUUCCCGGUGUAGCGGUGAAAUGCGCAGAUAUCGGGAAGAACACCCGUGGCGAAGGCGGUUCUCUGGGACGGUACUGACGCUGAGACGCGAAAGCGUGGGGAGCGAACAGG